CACUAGUAGAAAAAAUGACAAAGGCACCCCACCUUUGGCACCGAUUUUUGAAAACCGGUGGUUAAAAAAACGGGCGGGAUUGGAAAACAAACUUUAAGCACCGGUUCAAACCGGUGCCAAAUAAAAAAGAUAUUUUUUUUUAAAAAAAAAAAGGGAAAAAUUAUAUUUGGCACCGGUUCAUACCUAAUCGGUGCCAAAUAAUGUAUUACCACCGGUUCAAACCGGUGCCAAUUAAAAAAGAGAAAAAAAAGGGGAGAAAGGGAUUUGGCACCGGUUCGGUUCGAACCGGUGCGAAAUCUAUUGUAAAAUAAAAAAAAAACCCGGAUAUACUCUUUCUUUCUAUUGCUUUCAUUUCCUCGAUCUUUCCUCCCCUCUCAUCUGAUCUGCCUCUCUCUCUCCUCCAUUGAAGCAUACUCGAAUUUCCCUCUUCGUUCUGCUCUUCUCUUUCAAUUCCCUCCCAUUUUCGCAUAUCCUGCUCUCCCAGCUUUCCUUCUCCGUUUUCGCAUCUCCCUCUCGUUUUCGCAUCUCCUUCUGCACUCCAUUGAAGCAGCUCGCUCUCUCUCCAUUGAAUUGGUUUACGCGCUUUCUCACUCCAUUGAAGCAGCACUUCCAUUGAACCAGCUCUGGCCUCCAUUGAACUCACUUCGAGGGUUUGUCAUUGAAGCGCGCACGACUACACCUCCACCCUAACAGCCUCCUUGUCACGGCUACACCUCCACCGAUUCUAAGCUUUCCCACCUCCAUUGAACCAGCUUCGAGGACUUGGUUUGUUUCUUCUGGCUAUUUGUAUGAUUUAUGCAGGUGUAAUGAUCAUGGAGAACCACUCCCUCCUAAUGAUCAAAAAUAUGUUAUUGACAAUGUGCUGAACUACCAUCCUGAUAAACGGAUAAAAUUGGGGCUGAAGUUAAUUUUAUUAUGGUUAAAAAGCAUAGCAACUUCCAAGAAAGUCGUUGCUUUUAUGUCGUUUUAAUGGAUGGGCAUAAUGUGGACUUCUCAUACAUCAAGUGCUUGGAGACUUAUGUUAAGGGAAAGUACCAAUCAGUUGCUGAGUCCUUCAUGUCCAAGUAUUUUAGAAGGCCUCGUUCGGGAGCUGUCCAAGAGCUCUAGUUGCUAUCAAAUCCUCUUUCGUGGGAAAUGUGUUUCCUGGCCUCUUGUAUAUUGAUUCCGAUGACAGGAUUUAAUGUGGAGACUGUGGAAUACAAGAACAUCAGCUUUACCGUGUGGGAUGUCGGAGGUCAAGACUAGGCAAGUCCCGUCUACUUUAUUUAUCUGAUAUCAUCAUGUGUUGCUAUUUUUUAAGUCUUAUAUUGAAUUCUUAAUUGCAUGGCAUAGACAUAUCUAUAAUUUACUUUUCCUUGAGGCCUAAAUAUUACCUUUUGAAGUUAUGCUCAAAUGGUAUAGCAACCGUUCCUCAAUGACAUGAUUUUUGACUCCAUGUUUUUGCUUAUGUGGUCAGAUCAUCUACAUUAGUUGAGGGGAGAGAUUGAACAGGAUUAAAUUUAUUACCUUGUCAUUUCGAUAUGUUUAGACGCGGUAAAUCAAUUUAGAGAUUUUCCCUGGUUUCCCUUUUAUUCACUAGUGUAUUCCUCGUGUUGAAAUUGUGUCCAAAUCACUGCAACCUUUUGACGUUUUUCCACUUUUUCGGAAUUUUAAGUGCUCUAUUGCAAGCUUCACCGAAUGACUUUGCCUGGUAAAUGGCUUCUGGAAUGCUAAAUAACCAGCACCACACUCAUGUAACCAUUUGCCUUCACAACACUGCUCGUUAUUGUUGACGGUUACUAUGUACAAGUUCUGCUUUGGCUGCUCACUGAAUUUGAUUCUGCUCCACUACUCCUUCCCUUAACGGUUCCUCCUGCCCUGUCCUGCUCCUUCUUGUGUAUGUGAUUGAGUCGUUCUGUUUUCUCAAGGCAUUCGUUACAUAAAAUACCAAUCAAUAUGUAUUGCAAAUCUAUCAGAAUGUAUGCUAUGCAUUUUCGUUAGCCUCUCUGCUCUUUGUAUUUAAGUUCAUGUCUCUUGACAAAUGUAGCUCUCAAACACACAAGAUUUCACUUAAAUACCAAACAGCCUGUAUUAUUGAUCUCUUAGAAUGUAUGCCUAAUUUUUUCAAUUGUAAGAAGGCUAGAAUACUAUUUGUUCUUGCGAUUCAGCUUUGCAAUAUCUGUCACUAAAAAGAAUAAUGUCUUAUAUAGAACUUUAAAUUUUUUUGAAUAAAGGUGUAAAUUUGACAGGUUAUCAUUAAAUCCAGAUUUCCGCUUGCAAAAAAGUUGUAUUGGAAAGUUUGUUGAACAUCACCAGGGUGGACCCAUUUUUUAAUAUCAGAACACUGAACAUUAAGCUAGAAUCAGGCCACAUAAUGGGGUAUGGACUGAAAUGCUAUGUUUUCCUAAGAAUUUCGAUGCAAAUACUAGUAAUUAGUUUAGCUGUACUCACACAAAAUUUUUAUCAUCUAACUAUAUGUGAACAAACAGGCUAUAGAAAUGUUUGUAAAGCUAAUUGUGUGCCAGUUGGCUUCUUUUUCGCAGCAUGAAGACAAUACAAGGUAUCUAGCUUUAAAAUUGUGAUCUGUGAUAAUAUUCUCCUUUGCAGACACUGUAACUCCUGCUGAUGUUGGUCUGAAAGAGGAGAAUGUAGAUGAUGACCGAGGAUAUGGUCUUUCUUUGCUGAACCCAUUCAACCGAGCACCUAGAUGGGCCCAACCUAUAACAUAUCUGGAUAUCCAUGAGUCUGACACCUUUACAUUAAGGCCAUAUGCCCAUAUCUCCUUUUCUGUAUUACUUUCAAUGUCUCAUGUGCGAUCAACUUAUUCAUGCAUCUUUAACCUGGAACUCCAUUCAAGUUGCAUUUCAUAGUUCAAAUGCAUAAAACUUCAAAUGUAUAUAUAUUUGUUUAUUUGUUCAAAUACAUAAAAUUUCAAUCAUAGUUAUUUUUGUUCAUCUGUUCAAAGUGUAAAACUUCACAUGUAAUUAUUGUACCUGCCUAGCUAGUUGACUCAUUCUUUCCUGUGAUUCAUUACAUCUGUUCAAAUUGUAGAACUUAUUAAUAUAGAUUAUUUGAGGUGGUGCUUCAUUUGUUUAAAGAUUUAGUCAUGAAUUCAUGUUACUAGUUACCAAUCAUUGCGGACUAGUUUUGUGCUGUCAUUAUGUUGUAGUGCUUCAACUUAAUGAUGCAGGAUUCAUUGCAUUAGCAUGAAUGUGUUAGUACUGACAGUCCAGUCUCCACUUAGCGCUGACAUCCUAAUAUAAAUAUGCUAGAUGUGCAUAUUUUGCUUUCCGACAUCUGCAGUCAUUCCUCUGCAUGAUCAUCCUCGAAUGACAGUCUUCAGCAAACUUCUGUAUGGAUCCUUGCAUGUGAAGGCUUAUGACUGGGUUAAACCUCCACAAGUUAUUCAGAGCAAUGGCUCUGAGUGCUCUCAAGUUGGACCUAACACUGCACCGUCUGCAUGGGCCUACAAUGGAACUGGUAAAACUACUGCUAUCAAUUGCUUGACUGGAAUUUCACCAGUGACCAGUGGAGAUGGUAACAGUUUGUUUGAGAAUCUGUCCUUUCUGGUUUAAAUUUCUGUUUUUCAUGAUGUACUAGUCAGCAUUCAACUGAAGUCUCAAGUGUUUUUUUUUUUUUUUAGUUUUUUAAAGUGUAAUAUUACAAGUUA